rnacentral:rRNA from 1 species
GACGAACGCUGGCGGCGUGCCUAAUACAUGCAAGUCGAGCGGACUUGACAGAGCUUGCUCUGUUCAAGUUAGCGGCGGACGGGUGAGUAACACGUGGGCAACCUGCCCUGCAGAUUGGGAAAACUCCGGGAAACCGGGGCUAAUACCGAAUAACAUGAAAAACCUCAUGGUUUUCUUUUAAAAGGCGGCUUCGGCUGUCACUGCAGGAUGGGCCCGCGGCGCAUUAGCUAGUUGGUGAGGUAACGGCUCACCAAGGCGACGAUGCGUAGCCGACCUGAGAGGGUGAUCGGCCACACUGGGACUGAGACACGGCCCAGACUCCUACGGGAGGCAGCAGUAGGGAAUCUUCCGCAAUGGACGAAAGUCUGACGGAGCAACGCCGCGUGAGUGAAGAAGGUUUUCGGAUCGUAAAACUCUGUUGUUAGGGAAGAACAAGUAUCGGAGUAACUGCCGGUGCCUUGACGGUACCUGACCAGAAAGCCACGGCUAACUACGUGCCAGCAGCCGCGGUAACAC